rnacentral:rRNA from 1 species
AUUGAACGCUGGCGGCAGGCCUAACACAUGCAAGUCGAGCGGAGCGGCGGACGGGUGAGUAAUGCCUAGGAAUCUGCCUGGCAGUGGGGGAUAACGUCCGGUAACGGGCGCUAAUACCGCAUACUAUCAGAUGAGCCUAGGUUGGAUUAGCUAGUUGGUGGGGUAAAGGCCUACCAAGGCGACGAUCCGUAACUGGUCUGAGAGGAUGAUCAGUCACACUGGAACGGAGAAACGGUACAGACUCCGACGGGAGGCAGCAGUGGGGAAUAUUGGACAAUGGGGGAAAGCCUGAUACAGCCAUGCCGCGGGUGUGAAGAAGGUCUUCGGAUUGUAAAGCACUUUAAGUUGGGAGGCGGUACCAACAGAAUAAGCACCGGCUAACUUCGUGCCAGCAGCCGCGGUAAUUC